rnacentral:rRNA from 1 species
CCUACGGGAGGCAGCAGUGAGGUAUAUUGGUCAAUGGACGAGAGUCUGAACCAGCCAAGUAGCGUGAAGGAUGACUGCCCUAUGGGUUGUAAACUUCUUUUAUAAAGGAAUAAAACGAGGCACGUGUGCCUUUUUGCAUGUACUUUAUGAAUAAGGAUCGGCUAACUCCGUGCCAGCAGCCGCGGUAAUACGGAGGAUCCGAGCGUUAUCCGGAUUUAUUGGGUUUAAAGGGAGCGUAGAUGGGUUGUUAAGUCAGUUGUUAAAGUUUGCGGCUCAACCGUAAAAUUGCAAUUGAUACUGGCAGUCUUGAGUACAGUUGAGGUAGGCGGAAUUCGUGGUGUAGCGGUGAAAUGCUGCGAUAUCACGAAGAACCCCGAGUGCGAAGGCAGCUUACUAAACUGUGACUGACAUUGAUGCUCGAAAGUGUGGGUAUCAAACAGGAUUAGAUACCCGGGUAGUC